GAUGAACGCUAGCUACAGGCUUAACACAUGCAAGUCGAGGGGUAACGAGAGGAAAGCUUGCUUUCCUUGUCGACGACCGGCGCACGGGUGAGUAACGCGUAUCCAACCUGCCCCCAACUAGGGAAUAACCUUGCGAAAGUAAGACUAAUACCCUAUAAUUUCCUCAGAUGACAUCUGACGAGGAAUAAAGAUUUAUCGGUUGUGGAUGGGGAUGCGUCUGAUUAGCUUGUCGGCGGGGUAACGGCCCACCAAGGCAACGAUCAGUAGGGGUUAUGAGAGGAAGGUCCCCCACAUUGGAACUGAGACACGGUCCAAACUCCUACGGGAGGCAGCAGUGAGGAAUAUUGGUCAAUGGGCGGAAGCCUGAACCAGCCAAGUAGCGUGCAGGAUGACGGCCCUAUGGGUUGUAAACUGCUUUUAUACAGGAAUAAAGUUAGCCACGUGUGGUUAUUUGUAGGUACUGUAUGAAUAAGGACCGGCUAAUUCCGUGCCAGCAGCCGCGGUAAUAC
rnacentral:rRNA from 1 species